rnacentral:lncRNA from 1 species
CUUUAAUGUGUAGCAGUGGUGAUGGCGAGGUUAAAAUGUCACUUAUGACUUCAUUUUCCACAUGACAACAACUUCUCAUAGUGUAUACACAAAACUAAACAGCCUAUACAAAUUACAUAGCCACACAACCCAAACAUGACAGCCAACAUGACUAAUAAUUCUGAAUAACUGGGUGAGUUCAAAGGUCAAAAUCAGAGUUUAUUAUACAACCUUUGAUCUAUUGUGUGUCAGGACAGGUGUGUGUAUCACCCAGACUAUGAUCUCAGCUGAGAAACACACACGAAGAACACUUCACAGAGACAUCAUGUUCAGGUAAGAACCUCUUCCAGUACUUUCAGGGGAAAACCACUGUCAUAUAGUACACGUUACAUCAGAACACAGUGAAUCAGUUGUCAGUUAAUCAGGUUAAUAAUCAUCAUCAAUAGUCAGUUGAUCAUCAUGUCUCUCUUCCUCUCAGAAUUUCUGUGUUGAUCUGCAUCUCUCUACUGGUUUAUGGCAACUCAGCCAAGCCAUACAAGUCCUGGGUACGUACCGUAGACUGCAUAAAUAUAACAUUACUUCAAUGUAUGUACUCGCCUCCCUUAAGUGUACUAUGUACUAUUAUUCUCCUAUGCACCAGUCUUCUGUUCUCUCUCUUGCAGGAUAAAGUGGCUGAGUAUGCAGUCCAGGAGACUCUGAUGUCUGAAAAGGAGAGGGUGAUGUUUGAUCUGGGGCUGAAGCAGGUGGAGGCUCCUGAAGACAUGGACAUCACUAACAAUGACAUCCACCCUGUCAUGGCCAUCUGGAAGAACAUGAGAGGGGGAGGUGGGAAUAGACAGAAGGUAGAAAAAGAGGUAGUCCAAGGCAGAUACUCCACAACCGAGGAGGACAUGGACCAUCUAUACCACCCAUCCAUGGAGCAGACCCACGAGGCUGACCUGGCCAGAGCCCGAUCUCAGCCAGAGGACACCUUCGUUGGGAUGGCCAUCCAGACAGAGCCCCUAGAGGAGGAUAACACCAAGUACUACCAGGAGGCUGGGAUAGAUCUAGAUAACAUCUCUCAUCUCUUCUCAGGCCAGGUGGAUCCACGACACCCUGAAGAGGACUGGGACGAACUCUACCAUCCAGAGAUGAAAAGGGGAGACGGGCAGUACCAAGUGGACGUGCCUCACCAGGGGAAGCUAGCUGCUGUAGGGGCAGAGGUCAAGGGUCAUAGUGAGCCAGAGGAAGACAGGGAUGACCUCUACCAUGGUGACCUGCCUGUACCUGUUCAGGUGAAUGGGAGUGGCCAGGACAGGCAGCAGUCUGCCGAUCGGCCCUCUCAGAGGAUGUACAGAGAACCAGAAGAGGACCUGGAUGACCUCUAUCAUCAUUAA